ACAAUUUUCGGCUGUGGAUUGGGCUAGUACUGUGAUUUUAGCAUUAAGUAUUGCACAUUCCCCAGCCUGAAAGUGU
ncrna:Drosophila yakuba microRNA dya-mir-311b precursor